rnacentral:rRNA from 1 species
UACGUAGGGAGCAAGCGUUGUUCGGAUUUACUGGGCGUAAAGGGCGCGUAGGCGGCGCGGUAAGUCACUUGUGAAAUCUCUGAGCUUAACUCAGAACGGCCAAGUGAUACUGCAGUGCUAGAGUGCAGAAGGGGCAAUCGGAAUUCUUGGUGUAGCGGUGAAAUGCGUAGAUAUCAAGAGGAACACCUGCGGCGAAGGCGGGUUGCUGGGCCGACACUGACGCUGAGGCGCGAAAGCCAGGGGAGCGAACGGG